rnacentral:rRNA from 1 species
UGAGGAAUAUUGGACAAUGGGCGCAAGCCUGAUCCAGCCAUGCCGCGUGCAGGAUGACGGUCCUAUGGAUUGUAAACUGCUUUUGUACAGGAAGAAACAGUUCUACGUGUAGAACCUUGACGGUACUGUAAGAAUAAGGAUCGGCUAACUCCGUGCCAGCAGCCGCGGUAAUACGGAGGAUCCAAGCGUUAUCCGGAAUCAUUGGGUUUAGAGGGUCCGUAGGCGGUUAGAUAAGUCAGUGGUGAAAGCCCAUCGCUCAACGGUGGAACGGCCAUUGAUACUGUCUGACUUGAAUUAUUAGGAAGUAACUAGAAUAUGUAGUGUAGCGGUGAAAUGCUUAGAGAUUACAUGGAAUACCAAUUGCGAAGGCAGGUUACUACUAAUGGAUUGACGCUGAUGGACGAAAGCGUGGGUAGCGAACAGGAUUAGAUACCCAGGUAGUCCCUGAGCGGGCUGGCAAGGCGCAU